rnacentral:rRNA from 1 species
UCUACAGGCUUAACACAUGCAAGUCGAGGGGCAGCAUGGUCUUAUCUUGCUAAGGCCGAUGGCGACCGGCGCACGGGUGAGUAACACGUAUCCAACCUGCCGUCUACUCUUGGACAGCCUUCUGAAAGGAAGAUUAAUACAAGAUGGCAUCAUGAGUCCACAUGUUCACAUGAUUAAAGGUAUUCCGGUAGACGAUGGGGAUGCGUUCCAUUAGAUAGUAGGCGGGGUAACGGCCCACCUAGUCUUCGAUGGAUAGGGGUUCUGAGAGGAAGGUCCCCCACAUUGGAACUGAGACACGGUCCAAACUCCUACGGGAGGCAGCAGUGAGGAAUAUUGGUCAAUGGGCGAGAGCCUGAACCAGCCAAGUAGCGUGAAGGAUGACUGCCCUAUGGGUUGUAAACUUCUUUUAUAAAGGAAUAAAGUCGGGUAUGCAUACCCGUUUGCAUGUACUUUAUGAAUAAGGAUCGGCUAACUCCGUGCCAGCAGCCGCGGUAAUACGGAGGAUCCGAGCGUUAUCCGGAUUUAUUGGGUUUAAAGGGAGCGUAGAUGGAUGUUUAAGUCAGUUGUGAAAGUUUGCGGCUCAACCGUAAAAUUGCAGUUGAUACUGGAUAUCUUGAGUGCAGUUGAGGCAGGCGGAAUUCGUGGUGUAGCGGUGAAAUGCUUAGAUAUCACGAAGAACUCCGAUUGCGAAGGCAGCCUGCUAAGCUGCAACUGACAUUGAGGCUCGAAAGUGUGGGUAUCAAGCAGGAUUAGAUACCCUGGUAGUCCACACGGUAAACGAUGAAUACUCGCUGUUUGCGAUAUACUGCAAGCGGCCAAGCGAAAGCGUUAAGUAUUCCACCUGGGGAGUACGCCGGCAACGGUGAAACUCAAAGGAAUUGACGGGGGCCCGCACAAGCGGAGGAACAUGUGGUUUAAUUCGAUGAUACGCGAGGAACCUUACCCGGGCUUAAAUUGCAGAUGAAUUACGGUGAAAGCCGUAAGCCGCAAGGCAUCUGUGAAGGUGCUGCAUGGUUGUCGUCAGCUCGUGCCGUGAGGUGUCGGCUUAAGUGCCAUAACGAGCGCAACCCUUGUUGUCAGUUACUAACAGGUUCUGCUGAGGACUCUGACAAGACUGCCAUCGUAAGAUGUGAGGAAGGUGGGGAUGACGUCAAAUCAGCACGGCCCUUACGUCCGGGGCUACACACGUGUUACAAUGGGGGGUACAGAGGGCCGCUACCACGCGAGUGGAUGCCAAUCCCAAAAACCUCUCUCAGUUCGGACUGGAGUCUGCAACCCGACUCCACGAAGCUGGAUUCGCUAGUAAUCGCGCAUCAGCCACGGCGCGGUGAAUACGUUCCCGGGCCUUGUACACACCGCCCGUCAAGCCAUGGGAGCCGGGGGUACCUGAAGUGCGUAACCGCGAGGAGCGCCCUAGGGUAAAACUGGUGACUGG